UACGGAGGGUGCGAGCGUUAUCCGGAUUCACUGGGUUUAAAGGGUGCGUAGGUGGGAAUGUAAGUCAGUGGUGAAAUCUCUGAGCUUAACUCAGAAACUGCCAUUGAUACUAUGUUUCUUGAAUUUUCUGGAGGUCAGCGGAAUAUGUCAUGUAGCGGUGAAAUGCUUAGAUAUGACAUAGAACACCAAUUGCGAAGGCAGCUGGCUACAGGGAUAUUGACACUGAGGCACGAAAGCGUGGGGAGCAAACGGG
rnacentral:rRNA from 1 species